GGCAAUGAGAGAUCACCUGUCCAUAUGGUGAACAAGGUCACUCCUAUUUACAGUUGUAAAGGCUCAAACUGACUGAGUGCCUCCGAUAAUCAGAUGUUUCCAAGACAUCUAUGAACUGUCAAAGGAAAGUGCAUCUCAGCAAUAAGGACGACUGGAUAUAGGCCAGGCCAGAGGUGGUCUAGCUCCUGUAUUCUUGGAGGCUCUCUCCGAUCCAGACAUUCAAGUCUAUUAACUACUGAACAGUUCAUGGAUGGCUAAAGACUAUCUAGCCAGAUAUACCAGACAGCCAGUUUGGUCUAGUGGAGACUGCAAGUUCAAGUCCUGCCUUAGCCGUGGAAGCCGGCCAAGUGACUUUGGACCCAGUCACUCUCUCACAGCCAAACCCAUUUCACAGGGUUGUUGUGUGGAAAAUGGGAAGAGGAAGGUGUUAAGAUAUAUUCAUUACCUUACUUGUAAAAAUAAUGAUGGGAUAUGAAUAAAUAUCA